GAAAAACACAAUGAGAAGCAAAAAAGGUUACAGAACAAUUUAGCUCUUUAGUUAAUGAACUAACAUAAAUCAAAUUAUAUGGAGAUUUGAGAUGAAGGAUGGAUGAUAAAGAAAUGGAGGAACUCAAAUGGGCAUCUCCAGUGCCAGUAACUUGGGAAAUUGAACCAUCAGCUAAGGUAACAGAGUUGAACUAACAUAACCUGAUGUAGAUCUUCUACUAGUAGAACAUCCAGCCCAAUUCGCAUCAGAAAAACCUGUGGUAUUUAGGUGGCCACAAUUCUUGAAAAUUAGUCCUUUACCUGGUGCUCCUUUCAAGUAUUUGAUAAUUCGAAGCACAGCAUCCCAGUGAGUAGUCCGAGGAGAACCCAUGAAUUGGCUUACAACACUAACGGCAAAAGAUAUAUCAGGUCUCGUGACGGUAAGAUAAUUCAACUUACCAACUACUCUCCGAUAUUUCAAUGGGUCGUGUAAUAAUUCUCCAUCUUCUGCAUCAAGUUUCACAUUGGGUUCCAUAGGAGUAUCAACUGGUUUUGCUCCAACAAGCCCAACCUCAUCAAGAAUGUCAAGGACAUAUUUUCUCUGAGUUAAAUUUAUACCUGUAUGCGAGUAGGCAACCUCAAUACCUAGGAAAUACCGCAAAUGUCCCAUAUCCUUAGUACUAAACUGUGUAUGCAGAAAUUGUUUGAGUCGUUGAAUACCAUCUGAAUCACUGCCAGUAAUGAUAAUAUCAUCCACAUAUACCACCAGAAGAAUACAACCAGCUGAGGAGACAGAACUGAAGACUGAAUGGUCUACUUGACAACGCUUUAAUCCAAACUUAAUAACAGCAUCACUAAACUUACCAAACCAAGCACGUGGAGAUUGCUUGAGUCCAUACAAUGCCUUAUGUAAAUGACAUACCAGAUUCUCCCCUUGAGCAACAAAUCCAGGUGGUUGCUCCAUAUACACCUCUUCAGCCAAAUCACCAUGUAGGAAUGCAUUUUUGAUGUCUAAUUGAUGAAGAAACCAUCCAAAAUGUGCUGCUAGAGAAAUAAAGACACGAACAGAUGGAAUUUUGGCUACAUGAGAAAAAGUGUCAUCAUAAUCAACACCAUAUGUCUGAGUAUAUCCUUUAACGACUAACCGUGCCUUCAAUUGAUCUAUAGUGCCAUCAGGGUGGACCUUAACCGUGAAAACCCAACGACAACCAACAGGUUGCUUUCCCACAGGAAGAGUAGUAAGCUUCCAAGUGCGAUUCUCAAUGAGUGCUUUCAUUUCAUCCUCCAUGGCUUGUCUCCAACCAGGAUGAGCAAGAGCUUCAGUAACAUUGCUAGGCACAUAAAUAGAGGACAAGGACGAGACAAAAGUAGAGAAGGUAGGAGAUAAACGAUCAUAAGACAGAAAGUUGCUAAUAGGAUGACGAGUACGAAGACAAUCAGAUAGACCAGAAUAAAGUGUAUAACGAUCCACAGGACGCCCAACAAAAGAUCGUGUACCUUUUCAAGUAGCAAUGGGUUGACCAGGAUCAUGAUCAGGGGAUGGCACAUCAAUUGAUGAGGGAUCAGAUGAAUUAGGUGAUGGCCGUACCUCUGUAGUGGGAGCUGUUCCUCGUCUAUGGUAAGUUUGAUUAGCAAACUGAAAUCCUGUUGAUGAUACUGGAGGAAGUGAGAUUGGUGGAGGAAUUGGUAAGACACACUUGUCAGUGUCAGGAGACACAGUAGAGACUGUUUGAGUACUAUAGUAUGGCUGGUCCUAAAAAAAUGUCACAUAUGCUGAUACAAACACUCGACGACUAAUAGGAUUGUAACAUUUAUAACCCUUAUGAGUUCGAGAGUACCCAACAAAGAUACAUUUAUCAGCACGAGGAGCCAACUUAUCAAGACCUGGAGUCAGAGAAUGGACAAAACAAACAUAGCCAAAGACACGUAGAGGUAAUGCAAAGGGAGGACGAUUUGGAUGUAAAAUAGAGAAGGGUGUCUCCCCCUGAAGAACAGAAGUUGGAAGCCGAUUAAUUCAGAAGCAGGCUGUAAGAACAUCAUGACCCCAAAAUGUUUUCGGAAGAUGCAUGUGAAACAUAAGACAACGAGCAACGUCAAGAAGAUGACGAUUUUUACGUUCAGCUACACCAUUUUGUUGUGGUGUAUAUGAACAAGAAGUUUGAUGAAUAAUGCCAUGGGAAUCAAGAAAAGGUUGAAAACCAGAGGCAACAGCAGGAUACUCUUUGGCAUUAUCGGAUCAGAGAUUUUUCAUAGAAGUAUUAUAUUGAUUCAGCACUUCAAAAUAGAAUUGACGAAAGCAAUGAAAAAUCUCAGUAUGAUCUUUUAUUAGGAACAACCAAGUCAUUCAGGAAAAAUCAUCCACAAAUGUAACAAAGUACCGGAAACUAGAUGUAUCAGAAACACGACACGGACCCCAUAUAUCUGAAUGAACUAACUCAAAGGGACUAGACACAGGACUUUGAAAGCGAGAAGGAAAAGAGACUCUAUGAUGUUUUCCAAACUGACAAGCUUCACACUCAAAAGUACUCACAGACUCAGACUCUGGAAACAAUCGUCGAAGAAUGUUUGGCGGGGGAUGACCAGCAUGACAAUGCAUCUGAUAGACAUCAGUGGAUGUGUGCUUCAGAGCUGCUGCAGCUAUCACCUUCUUGUCCAGAUAGUAUAGGCCAUUUGAUUCAUGUCCCCCACCAAUCACCUGUCUAGUCCUCAGAUCCUGAAAAACACAAUGAGAAGCAAAAAAGGUUACAGAACAAUUUAGCUCUUUAGUUAAUGAACUAACAUAAAUCAAAUUAUAUGGAGAUUUGAGAUGAAGGAUGGAUGAUAAAGAAAUGGAGGAACUCAAAUGGGCAUCUCCAGUGCCAGUAACUUGGGAAAUUGAACCAUCAGCUAAGGUAACAGAGUUGGACACCCCAAGAGGUGUGGAAUUUAAUGAAGACAACAAUUUAGAGUUACCAGCUAUAUGAUGAGUAGCUCUAGAAUCUAUAACCCAAGAGUUUGACACUAUAGAAAGUAAACAGGAUGAACUAUCUUUUGAGUUAUGUACUAGAGUGGCAGUGGGAGCUGAAGUUCCUGUCACCUGUUUGGAGUGAAUCCAAGCCUCAUAUUCUGCACGUGUCAAUGUAACUGAAUCUUUUGUAUCCUGCACAUUAGUAGGAUCGGAUUGAACAAGUGAGAAAUCUUCAACUUCAACAAAUGCAGCAACUGUGGGUCGAAGCUCUGGAUGAAGCGUGUAGCAGUAAGCUUCAGUGUGUCCAGCCCUCCGACAAUGGUUACAAUAUCGAGUGCCACGGCUACCAAGAAUUCUAUCACGAUCACCACGACUUCCACCUUGAAUAAGCCCACGUCCAUGACCCCGAUAACCAUGACCACGAGCUCCACUUCCACUAGAGCCAUGAGAAAUCAUGGCACUUGUCUCUAAAGUUGUAGUGGAGAUCUUGUCAGUAGGUGUCGAGCGUAAGGCUCGGGAGAAAACCUCAUCAACUGUAGGAAGGGAGCUUUCAGACAUAAUCUGCUGACGAAGGGAGGAAUAGUCAGGCCCUAGUGCUUUAAGAAAUAGUAUCACUCGAAGAUCCUCCUGACCUUUGACUAAUACAUUUGGAUCAUUGGAAGCUGGAAGAUAAGUAUCUAGCUGUCUGCAAAGUGUAGUGAAACGAGCAUAAUAUUCAGAUAGAGACUGAUCUCCACGCUGAAGAUCAAACAGGGCCUCCCAUGUGUCACAUACUCGUGUCAUAUUAUUUUGGCCAGAAUAAAAUAGAGCACAUUUAUCCCAAACUUCCUUAGCAGAAUUACAUUGAAUAAAGUGAGGGCUAAUCUUUGGAUCCAUACUAUUCCAUAACAAUGUACGGAUCAUUGCAUCUCCAGCAAUCCAAUCAUCUACUUUACUCUUAUCCGAGGGAAGUGUGGAUGUAAGAUAAUCAUGCUGUCUAGUUGCAGUAAGAUAAACUUGUACAGCUUUAGACCAUGAUGGAUAGUUAGUGCCAUCCAACUUGACAGAUGUCAAUUGGAAAUGUGUCAAACCAGUAGAUGAUGUAGAAGCCAUCAGUAUUAACUCUACUGAACUCCAAUAAUGCAAUUAGCCAGACAGAUUGAACACAAGAAUCGACCGAACCCAAUAAGAAUGACA
rnacentral:lncRNA from 1 species